CAUUUGAAUUUUCUUUGUUUUCUUGUAUUUUUCCUUUAUUUUCAAGCUUUUUUCUUUUACAUUCAUAUGGAUGUUUGUAACGUCAGUCUAACUUUUUUAUUUCUCUUUUUUACCAAAAGUUUGCUGUGUGGUUAUUGUUGUUUAUCGCAAUUUUACAACUUUCAUGUCAAUUUCGAUUUUCGCAAAUUUCGCACACAUACGAAAAUCUGCACUGCAAUUUCGUUUGCUUUUAAAUGUUGAUUUUCUGUCUCUCGUUUUCACAACGCCGCCACAAAGACAAUAAGGUCGACGUGUUAGCAAGACUCUGCUGCUGCUCUCGCUACUUUUCACAAAUCUUCACAACGUGGGUGGAAAAUUUUCACAAAUUUAUUUCGCUUUUUUUAUUAAAAAUUUAUUAUUACACAAAUAUUUUUAUUAUUUAAAAAUGAUUCAAUAAGAGUUAUACAAGUACUUUUCCCAGCUAAUUUGCGUAUUCAUUACCAAUACCACUGCAAAAAUAAUACACAACUGCUGUAGGAGUAUUGCAAUUUUAUUGAGAUGUCAGAGUAUAUAGUUGCGAAAAAAAUAUUAAAUUAUAAUUUGUUGUACACAUUAAACAAUAUAAUGCGCUACGGUUAUGUCGUAGUCAACGAUAAAAAUCAUCCGUCUGGUUGAAAGGCACAAAACAAAUUACGUUGCGGUCGCGAGUUACGCCAGCAAAAGCAGCGAAGAUACCGGAGCAGACAUUAACGUCGACGUCGACGUGGUCUCUCGUACGACGGAGCACCACCAUUGCCGACGCAACACGAUGCGACGCUGGCUUUACUGCAGAUAGGGUGGGGUGUUGUGAGGCGAUAACAACAAUAAUAAUCACAGUUCGAAAGAGUAAUGAGAUAGUGGCAAAACAACAAAACGCCUCAAAACACACAUACAAAUAAAUUUGCGUCAGUAUAUAUGGCCAUUCAACGACAAAACAACAAUACAUUGUAAGCAACAGCAUUGUGCCAGUCACCGCAAGAACAACAAAUUCUCGUAGACAAAAAACAAUAACAACGAAAGAUUGAAUAUAAAAUACCCAUACAAUACAAGAAAAUGUGUUUACAUGACUACUUAUAUAUGCAUGUAUCUACGAAUGUAUAUAAAAUAGGGAGUGAAAUAAAGACCAAGGAGCGACAGAGGAGCUGCGAUGCGCUGCACUGCUAUAGUGUGUCACCAAAAAUUAGCUCUUCCCGACAAGCCAAGCGGAUAACAACAAUAAAAAUCAGCAACGAUAACAAAAAAGCUUAAGAAACAGCAUACAUAUGCCACUCAGUUUGUAUAUAAUGCAGUUACACUAAUAAAUAUAACACAUGAGCUUUAGGAGCAUGACCGAAAGCAGUCGAUUCUUAAGUAUUAAAAAUUAAAUAUGUAAUGUAAAAUGAAACAAAAUAGAAU